AACGUAAAGGCGGUGGUGGGGGUGGUCACGGGGGCGGUGACGGGGAUGGGGGGAAGAAGAAGAUGAUGAUGAUGGCCAUGAUGUGUAUGAAGAUGAAACUCAUGAUGAUGGUUCCAGCAAUGAUGGGCAUGAUGGGAAUGAUGUCAUUCAAGGGAAUGAUGUUCAGCAUGAUGUCAUUUAUGAUAUCAAAAAUGAUGCUUCUUAUGAAAAUUUUGGAAAAGAAGGGCGGAGGCGCCAGCAGCGGAGGCGGUGAUGGGG